rnacentral:misc_RNA from 1 species
CUUUAGAGUUUAAGAAGAUAUAAUUAAACAUACGAAAAAGCUACCCGUAGCUCUAAUUAAGAAAUGUUAAGGUUUGAUAUUUCAUUCUGUUUGAGUGCAUUUCUUGAAUAAGUAAAAUUGGACUUUAUGACGUCAUAUUCACUCGUCUCGAAUUUGCCGAGAAGAGACGCCAUUAUCGCGAUAUCGAGAAGGAGGAUGGCGGACGACAUUCCAUCAUCAUUUCAACUGACAGUGAAUGCAGGGGACAGCCUGCCAGGGCUGGUACUGGUGGACCAGAUGACGGAACAGGCUGGUAGCCCACCACUGCGGUUGGUGCCUGUUGGAGGUGGCCAGUUCCUGCUGGCCAAAAUGGCUGGCCUGCCCCCUGAUGAGGAGAACAGCCUGGCUGGUGGCACCACUGCGCAAGAUGACUUGGCAAGACAACUGGCAGAGCUGCAGGCUGAGGUUCUGCAGAGGCUAGAGGGGAUUUCCAGCAAGCUGAGUGCAGUAGAGACCCGCUACACCACUCUUGGUGACAAGAUCCACAAUCUGACAGCAAUGUUAAGCACACCAACACCUGCUGCAAGCUCCGCCAGCACACCCUCAAGUGACACGAGGUCCAGUGGGCCAGUUUGUGUACCAUCGCCAGCUGGUGGAACUGUGGAAGACUACCCAAAUGGUUCCUGGCUUGGGAAUCCAGGAGACCCAGAUAUGCGAGUUCGUGUACCAGUCUCACCGCAGGAUUUGGAGAUGCUCAACCGCACCUGCACCACCCCAGAAAAGAUGGCCUUAACACUACUUGACUUUCUUUUUGACCGGGAGGUGCAGGCUAGCUCAAACAUUUCUGGCACUGGGCGUCAUGGAAAACGACAACUGGACCCACUUCGCAUCUUCGCAAUAAAAUGGGAGUAUACCCCACCACAGGUUCAAAUUCUUCACAGUCAGCGGAGGACCCUGCUGAGCAGCUAGCACUUCUCUCUGAAGAUGCUCUGCGUGAUAUCGCCAGCUUACAGCCACAGAUCAUCCGCACCGAGCAUGGGGACAUCCAGGUUGUGCAGGCUACUGCUGAACAGCUUGCACAAAUGGAACGAGACCCACAGAUCCACAUUCUUGCCAGUACAGAAGUACUUAGUGCUGCAGAUAUUGAACAAAAUGAAAC